ACAUCACAAGAGGAGUCAGCGUUAAAAACAGAUACAGGUCAGAGGUGUUUGUUCCAGUACCUCGGGUUUGGCAGGCAGUGAUUAUGCCAGACAGGAGACGAGAGGGGAUGGUAAAUCACAACCAGGGUCACUGCAGGCACUGGCUCCUCCCCCUCUUCCUCAAGGGUCUCAGAAAUUGGACCAUUUGACUGCAACUCCUCUCCCCUCCCAGCUCUUGAUAAAACCUCCAUCCAGCGUCGCUGUAGCUCCUCAUUGUCGGCACUGAAGUAAACGGUCAAAUGACUCUGGCUCAUUUUGAAGGCGUAGCGACGUUCGAGACGGUCACUUGAUUCAGGAAACUACACAGCACACUGUUUUCAGCUGCCACAGAGGCCUGUUUCUGCACAUCAGAAAACACAUUACAAUCUUAAUAUGGACUACCACAGUUUGCAAGAUCAAAAAAUGUGUUUACAGUGAUACACUUACAAUGGAAGCCUAGCACGCAGGCAGGUUGGAGGGUAAAGGAUUGUUCAAAUUGAAUGUUAGGGGCUGGGUAUUCAUACAUAUUUCUAUUCAGGGUACCUUGAAACUAGGUACAUUAUGAAAAUAUACAUUUUAUAAAUGAUACUUUGUUUUUCUUCAUUUUGGUCCCAUUUUAGCUUUUAAAACAUACACAAAUCUAUGUAUUACAUCAAUAACUACAAUAUUAUAUUGCAUAUAUUAUUUUUUUACAUGUUUAUUGUUUAAUGCAUAAUUUGUACUAUUUACAAGUAUUUACAUUGAUUUGUAGAACACACAAGUGCUAAAAUCGGUACCAUCUCUUUAAGAAAACUGGCAGUUCUGUAAAGAGUGUCUGUAAAUGAGCGUAUAUGAGGAGAGGACUCGAAUGGCAUCUUUACCUCAUCCGUGCUAUUCGUGAUUUAGUGUUUAUUUUUGGUUGUUUUUGAUCAACAAUUGACUGUAAAGAACAGAAAGAAUAAUAAAAGACACAUUAUUCAAUGACAAAUGGAUUGUGUGGAUCUCGUCUUUGGACACACAUUACACAAAACGUGUCUAAUCAAACUUUUACUCUCAAGAUGCAGUGAAAGGAUGCUGAACUUCUUCACCAAUAUGUUACUCAAUCACUGGUGAGUAAAAUCUGAACAUUUACCAGCCAGUGGCUAAUCACAGACAUUUUUAACCGAUUAACACAAAAUUUGGUCUCAUGUGCGAUUGAUUUACUCGCAUUGUAGAGAGUUGGACAUGAAGUGAAAGAUCACUCUUGGGAUUUAGGAAUCGAGAUCAAGACUGAUGCAUUAUGGCAGCAGUCAUAUCACCCUGUAGCUCUAGACUAGUUACCCACUGAAGCUAAGCAGGGUUGAG